rnacentral:tRNA from 1 species
GGAGAUUUGGCUCAGUGGUAGAGCACUUGCCUAGCAAGCACAAGGCCCUGGGUUCAGUCCCCAGCUCUG